rnacentral:rRNA from 1 species
CCAUGCCGCGUGCAGGAAGACGGCCUUCUGGGUUGUAAACUGCUUUUGCCAGGGGAUAAAAUUUCUUUGCGAAGAAAAUUGAAGGUACCUGGUGAAUAAGCCACGGCUAACUACGUGCCAGCAGCCGCGGUAAUACGUAGGUGGCAAGCGUUGUCCGGAUUUAUUGGGUUUAAAGGGUGCGUAGGCGGCCUAUUAAGUCAGUGCUGAAAUAUCCCGGCUUAACCGGGAGGGUGGCAUUGAUACUGAUGGGCUAGAGUACAGAUGAGGUAGGCGGAAUUGACGGUGUAGCGGUGAAAUGCUUAGAUAUCGUCAAGAACACCUAUAGCGAAGGCAGCUUACUAGGCUGUAACUGACGCUGAGGCACGAAAGUGUGGGGAUCAAACAGGAUUAGAUACCCUGGUAGUCCACACUGUAAACGUUGAUUACUCGCUGUGUGCGAUAUACAGUACGCGGCCAAGCGAAAGCGCUAAGUAAUCCACCUGGGGAGUACGCCGGCAACGGUG